GACAGAGGGGGCAAGCGUUACUCGGAAUUACUGGGCGUAAAGCGUGCGUAGGUGGUUUGUUAAGUCUGAUGUGAAAGCCCUGGGCUCAACCUGGGAACGGCAUUGGAAACUGGCUUACUAGAGUGCGGUAGAGGGGUGUGGAAUUCCCGGUGUAGCAGUGAAAUGCGUAGAUAUCGGGAGGAACAUCUGUGGCGAAGGCGACACCCUGGACCAGCACUGACACUGAGGCACGAAAGCGUGGGGAGCAAACAGG
rnacentral:rRNA from 1 species